AAGGUGGGGCUGAUGACUGGGGUGAAGUCGUAACAAGGUAUCCGUACCGGAAGGUGCGGAUGGAUCACCUCCUAACAGGGAGACAAACAACGAUUUUGAUGCCUGAGUAUUUUUAUUCUUAGGCCGAAAUCCUGUCACCUUAGGUCGAUCGGUACCUCAGAUUUGAAAUCAAGAUGACGCAGCAAUGUGUCGUGCUUGAUGGAGAUUUUCAGUUUCUAAACUUUGUCUAGGUCACACCCCAAAAGGGAUGAGACUCCUGGGCCAUUAGCUCAGGUGGUUAGAGCGCACCCCUGAUAAGGGUGAGGUCCCUGGUUCAAGUCCAGGAUGGCCCAUUCGGUGUUGGGGGUUUAGCUCAGUUGGUAGAGCGCCUGCUUUGCAAGCAGGAUGUCAGGAGUUCGAGUCUCCUAACCUCCACUGACCGAACUUUAUCCCCAUCUCCAAAUUGUUGGAGUUGAGCUCGAUUGGAGUGUGAUUUAGAUAUGUCCGCUGGAUGUGAACCCAGCUUCCUGUCAUUCUGAAGAUCAGGAUGCUUUCAAUGAAAGUAUUUUGAUGUUGAGUUGAUAAGAUGCUGGGCUCAAAUUUUAGUUUGUUGAGUAAUCAGCAAGCUGAAUUUGAUGUCUAGCAGAACCUUGACAACUGCAUAGGUAAGUCUGGAAAAAACAAAGCAUCUCAUGGAUGCAUUGUUUUGAGUUCAAGCUCUCGAAAGAGGGAUUGAAUCCAUAACAAUGAAAAUUCUUUUGAGCAAGAGCCGAGACUCUUAAGCGUUCUUUGAUUCGUGUCGAGCGAGUCAGAGUUUGAUUUUGUUUUUUAUUUCGGUGAAAACUGAAUUAAAAAACAUGAGAAUCUGCUUUCAACGGCGGUAAGCGUUUAAGAGGUUAAUUGGUCAAGCUACAAAGGGCUC
rnacentral:misc_RNA from 1 species